UACCUGGAACAAGUUACAACGAACACAAUUUAACAUAAACCACCACCAAUUUUGAACCAUUUGAUCGAAAAAUGAGACAUUUAAAGCACAUGGAGCAUUAAUAAUAAUAAACAUAAAGUUACACAACACAGAGGGACAAAAACACACACAAAUAGGUAUUACACUCCGAAACAACAACUUUUUUCUCAAAAAGGCAACCCAAGCAAUUCCGCGCACGUGCACCACUCAAACGCCCGAAGCAGAAUCCAUAC